rnacentral:lncRNA from 1 species
GCGGGGGGUGGGUGGUGGGAAGCAAAACGUCCAGUCUGGAGGCCAAGAGGAAGAGACUAGAUGCAGAGCUUUCUGCUGGUGAUUCACCACCUGUGCACAGCCCAGCUCUCAAGAGUCCUGGAUCCUCCUAGGUCCUCCGACAGAGGGAGCAGUCACAAGGAUGGUUCUUGCAGCAGCAUCCAGGGGCCACCGCCCUGUAUAUGCCCGGGCAGACACAGCAGUGGCUUCCUCCGGGACCAGUUCCAUGGUGUGAUUUGGUCAUUGUUUUUAACAAGCCAUAGUUUCUCUCAUUUUGAGCUAAGCUGCCUGCCUGCAACAGCUACUCCUGGAGGUCAGGGCAAGCUGGCUUCAGCUGCCUCGAGGCAGGUCAAGGACACAGCUCAAUUGGACACCCUGGAACAGGCCUGGAAUUCUGGGCUCCAAGAACAGCCAGACUAAUCUGCGUAUGUGGUAAGAUCACAUGAGCACAUCUGCGUGAACACUUGCAGCCAGUGAAGUGUGGCCGACGACGAAGAAGACAACCUGCCUCCUUCACGCAGACCGAAUGGCAACGGCAUCCCCUGGGGGAGCCCCAGAGGAGCCGACGAACCUGCCGUCUGCACUCUUGCUUGUGCUGUUUGCCUUUCGAAAGGGCUCGCUGCAUCGCGGCCAGUGCAUCUUCUCCUCCCAAGGCCAUGCUUGAUGGCUGAGGUCCCGUCCCAGAUACAGACCCUGUUGCCCAUGGGUUUCUUUCUCUCUGUCGCUACCCUUUCUGGGGCCCCCUCCACUUCUCCAGCCCCACCCACCUCCAUGCCCAUUUCCAGGAAGGGUAGGACAGAGGGCAGCAUCAGCAAGCAUCUCUUCAUUUGUGAAGCUUACACAUCCUGGGUGCUUGGAAAAAGACCUGGUUCGUGUCUCUCUCCUCUCUAAUCAAUUCACAAUCAAUAAAUAUUUACUGAACACCUCCAAAGCACUUAGCACUGAGCAGGUCCUACAGGGAUACAGGCCAAUAAAGGCACAGUAACAUUUAGCUUUAAGCCCCUAUGCUUUACUUGAGCAGAACAAUCCAUUGGCAAGACAAGGCAGGUGCUUGUGUGAUGUGAAAUAUACAAGCUAGACUUAACAAGUCCCUCUCUGGGCUCCCAUAGCUAACAGUGUUCUACAAUAAUAGUGAAUAGCAUUGAUUGAGGCUAUGUGGCAGACACUGCUCUCAAGUGUCAACUAAGUGCCAAAACAGACAGGAACCAUUAUUAUCCUCAUUUUUUCAAAUAAGAAAACUGAGGCACAGCCUGAGGUCACAUAGCUGAUAAGAAGUAGACAUAGCAUGGAUCAUUCACCCAAGGUGGUGUGACUUCAGAGCCUGCCUGCCCUAGCCCUGGUAUCAUUCUGCACAAUAUUAUGGACACUGGUCUUGAUGCAUGGCUGUUUUCUCCUUAAGAGAAAGGACUAUCCCUUGUUUAUUGCCACAUAUCCCUAUAGUGUUGAGAACACACACAAAAAAGUGUUAUUCGAUAAUUGUUUAUCAAGUUGACCUAGCGAGGAGCAUGAAGGAACAGCCACAGUGAAGAACAGAAAAGUGAAUCAUGAUUGGGUGAAUAAAAGGAUUUCAGAGUAGAAAAAAGGUCUGGUGGAAACUGGAUGUCAUCCGUAUGCAGAGGCCCUAGUCGGCCUGGCACUGAGCCACCCGUCCUCCCACCAGCUCUGCGCACAGGGCCCAAGCUGACGAGUAGGAAGGAAAGACUCACAGGGACACAGCUGUAGGUUAGGGCAGGGAGGGAGACAGGGAAGGUGCAAGAGGGAAGCAAGGCUAACGGCACAGCCUCUCCACUUAGUCCCCAGAGUGAUAGAACAGCAGCUAUGGGAGCAGCCAGGACUUAGAGGCAGUCAGACAGCAAUUUACCAAACGCUGUCAUUUGGGCCUAUAAAAGUUAAAGGAAAAAAAAAAAAAAACAGAAAAAAGCAAGUGUUGGUGAGGAAGUGGAAAGACAGAAUCCCUGGGCAUUGUUGGUGGGAAUGUGAAAUGGUGCAGCCACUGUAGAAAACAGUGUCACGGUUCCUCAGAAAAAUUAAAUCUGUAAUUAUAUGUGACUCAGCAAUUCCACUGCUGGGUAUAUGUCCAAAAUAAUUAAAAACAGGGACUUGAAUAGAUGUUUAUACACCCAUGUUCAUAGCAGCAUUAUUCAUAACAACCAAAAAGUGGAAACAGCCCAAAAGUCCAUCAACAGAUAAACAAAUAGGCAAAAUGUGGUAUAUACAGACAGGGGGAUAUUACUCAGCCUUGAAAGGAAGGAAAUUCUGACACAUGUGCAAUAUUCAUGAAGCCUUAAAGACACUGUGCUAAGUGAAAUAGGCCAGACACAAAAGGACAAACACUAUAUGACUCCAUUGACAUGAGGUUCCCGGAGUGGUGAAAUUCAUAGACACAGAAAGUAGAAUGGUGGUCACCAGGAGCUGGGGGAGAGGAAAUGAGCAGUUAUUAUUGAACAGACUCAGAGUUGUCAUUUGGGAAGAUGGAAAAGUUCUGGAGAUGAUGGUAGUGAUGGUUGCACAACAAUGUGAAUGUACUUAAUGCCACUGAACUGUACACUUAAAAACAGGAUGGUAAAUUUUAUGUUGUGCACACUUUAACACAAUUAAAAAAAG